CUACGGCCAUAUCACGUUAAAACAUCGGUUGCCGUGCGAUCACCGAAGUUAAGCAACGUCGAGCCUGGUCAUUACCUAGAUGGGUGACCGAUUAGGAAUACCAGGU